rnacentral:lncRNA from 1 species
CGUUUUUCCACCAUUAAUUUUUUCCUUACUGGAUUAUAGAAACACUUAAAAUAAGGGCUGUGUUUCGUGUAGGCUUACCUUGGAGUGACGUUUUGAUAAUUGUGUAAAUCUCUCUAGGUCCAGGACAAGAUGUCUUAUCAAUAUAUUCGCUUGUAUUUACCCCUAAAAAUGAAAUGCUAAUUAGCUGUUAAUGUGGCUAUCAUAAUGAACUAAAAAUGCCAUGAAUGAUCUGGAUGAGACUGCGGAAUCGAGGCAAAUGUAAGAAUCUCUGGAUUAACUAUAUCUAAUGUUAGAAAAAUGUACUAAUGAAUAAGUCAUUUCUUUAAAUUGACAAUUCUGUGAACUGUCUUGUGCAAGUUUUACAUUGACACAAUAUACCUGUUUGCAAAGGUCAGCUCGACAUGACGUGCAGGAGCUGGCAGAGAUUUGUAGUCUUGCAUGAUGUCUACUUUGACGCUAAUUAGCAUUUUCUAAUCUGAGAGUAAAUAGAGCCGAAUAUAUUGAUUAAAGUCACCUUGUCCAAGAGCGAUUUAAAUGGUUAUCAAAACAUCAUGCCAGGGUAAGCCUACACGAAACACAGCCCUUAUUAAGUGUCUCUAAAAUUCCCUAUGGGGAAAAAUGAAUGGUGGAAAAACGAUUGGAACCAUUUCCCUGUUUGGGUAUUAUGACACCGCCACUUUGGGGCUCUAUAGCAGGGAUAGGCAACUCUGUUCCUGGAGUGCAGCAGGACCACGACCUCACUCUGACCCUCAAGGCCGUUACCCUCCUAACCACAAACACCCAGUGGCUGCUAGACCUGACACCUUGGCCCCACGUACAUCCUCACCAAGCAAUCUGGGCAGCUCGACCGCUCCACUAGAGUCACAGGCUGAGGCCCAGGCCUCCACAGAGAACCCAGAGGCACUCCCCCCCCGACUCAAGCCCUAGCCCCCUCAGACCAGUCAUCAGCCAUCCCUCCGGACUCUGCUACCGUCCCCUUCCCGGACCCCACCACAUCCCUCCUCCCCCACCCUUCAUGCCUCCCGUGUACAGACCAGACAACGGACACUCAGGCAUGAUGCCUCCUGGACCCCCACCACCUAACGGACACCCGCCUCGUCCCAUGAUACCACCCGGACAUCGGCCUCCACCUCCUGGUGCUCACGGUCCCCCUUCCCCACACAACCGGUACCUUCCUCCACCUCCUCACUAUGGACCUGUGCCUCCCCC